rnacentral:rRNA from 1 species
GCCUAAUACAUGCAAGUCGAACGGUCUUUCUAUGGAAGCUUGCUCCCACUGAGAAGAUAGUGGCGAACGGGUGAGUAACACGUGGGUAACCUGCCCAUAAGAGGGGGAUAACAUCCGGAAACGGGUGCUAAUACCGCAUAGUUUUCUUGAUCGCAUGAUCGGGAAAGGAAAGACGGCCUUUGUGCUGUCGCUUAUGGAUGGACCCGCGGCGUAUUAGUUAGUUGGUGAGGUAACGGCUCACCAAGACGAUGAUACGUAGCCGACCUGAGAGGGUGAUCGGCCACAUUGGGACUGAGACACGGCCCAAACUCCUACGGGAGGCAGCAGUAGGGAAUCUUCCGCAAUGGACGAAAGUCUGACGGAGCAACGCCGCGUGAGUGAAGAAAGGUUUUCGGAUCGUAAAACUCUGUUGUCAGAGAAGAACAAGUUGGAGAGUAACUGCUCCAGCCUUGACGGUAUCUGACCAGAAAGCCACGGCUAACUACGUGCCAGCAGCCGC